GAACGCUGGCGGCAGGCUAAUACAUGCAAGUCGAACGGUAAGGCCGAGCGUAGCAAUACGUGAGGUACACGAGUGGCGCACGGGUGCGUAACGCGUAUGCAAUCUGCCCCCGACCGGGACAAAACAGCUGGAAACGGCUGCUAAUAUCCCAUGGUCAUGAGAGACGGCAUCGUUUUUCAUGUAAAGAUUCAUUGGUCGGGGAUGAGCAUGCGUAUUAUUAGGUAGUUGGUGGGGUAACGGCCCACCAAGCCGACGAUGAUUAGGGGUUCUGAGAGGAUUAACCCCCACACUGGAACUGAGACACGGUCCAGACUCCUACGGGAGGCAGCAGUAGGGAAUAUUGGGCAAUGGAGGCAACUCUGACCCAGCCAUGCCCGCGUGAAGGAAGACGGCCCUAUGGGUUGUAAACUUCUUUUGCCGCAGAGUAAACCCGGUCACGUGUGGCCGGUUGAGAGUAUGCGGCGAAUAAGUAUCGGCUAACUCCGUGCCAGCCGCUGC
rnacentral:rRNA from 1 species